rnacentral:rRNA from 1 species
UACGAAGGGGGCUAGCGUUGUUCGGAAUUACUGGGCGUAAAGGGCGCGUAGGCGGUGUGUCAAGUCAGGCGUGAAAGCCCCGGGCUCAACCUGGGAACCGCGCUUGAGACUGGCACGCUCGAGUUCGGGAGAGGAUGGUUGAAUUCCCAGUGUAGAGGUGAAAUUCGUAGAUAUUGGGAAGAACACCGAUGGCGAAGGCAGCCAUCUGGACCGACACUGACGCUGAGGCGCGAAAGCGUGGGGAGCAAACAGG